CGCGUCCUACUAUUACGGAGUCGCAGCAAAUACUGAGGCUCCGUACACCGUACACCAAACGAAGCGCGCGCCAGCCAGCCGAGCACACCCGAAAACGACCGAACCAGAAAGAAGGGACAUUGCUGUCUUGACACCAUAGGACAGUCGUUAUAUUUUUUGACGGAACAAAUUUUUGACGAUUUCAAACCAGAAAUAUCGAAUCGUCAUUAUCAGACUGUGGAUCUUUAUGCAUUUAUGAAAAAUUUAAAGGUGCAAAAGUGCAUAGAAUGCAUGUGAUAUGCGAUAUUGAUAUAAAAUACCCAAAGUACAAUACUCUCUAUAAUAUUUAAUAGGUAAAACAAUUUUUUACCCAGAUUUCAUGUUCUUAAUUAUAUCUAUGAAAACAUGAACUUAUUAAAUAUACGCAGUCUACUUAUUAUAUGUAUAUAUAUGUAUGUAUGUAUUAUAGAUAUAUUCGUUGACUCCUUGCCUUAUCAUUUCUUUGGGAGCUAUUUGAAUAAGCGUUUAAUUGUUCACCGUUAUAGCAAUAUAUGCCAUAUAAAUUACUUUUGUAAUAUUAUGUGUAAUUUGUAUUUAAUAAUUCGCAGUCUGAGGUAUUGGAAGUGGAUUUUGAUUUAAACUUUCUUAUAAAUCUAAACUGCCUCUGUUCGAGUCGGAUAGAACUAUAACAUAUAAAUUGUUCUGAGGCAGCAUCUAUCGAUUACAUAUAUUGAAAAGUACGGGAAAGUGAUAACGUAGUAUUGGAUUGGAAACUAAGUAAUGCCAUAUAAUGACAAGAUCCGCAAUCACUUAGUCGCCAACCCAAUAGAAGCUGUUUCUUAAAUUUAUCUUAAAAUUUAUUAUUAUUUACGUUAUUUUCUUGCGAUAAAUUUAAACUAAUGGAAGUGCGUGAGUCAUUUGUUUUUUUUUUAACUGAACAUUAACCAUUUACUUACGUAAUGAAAUUAAAAUAUGAACAAAGGAUCAGUUUGGAAACUGACUUGCAGAUAUAAGGCAAGUAGUUAACUACGUUUCUGUUAUAUUUUUACGAUAUAUUCUACUCGAUAGUGGUCGUUAAACAUAUUCUUAUAAAUAUCCUGUAACGUAAAAAAUAUUCAAUUCUGACAUUUUACGCUUCAACUUAUGUUUUAUGGAUGAAAUGUGGAAUAUUCUAGAGAACAAAAGCAUCUCUUAUUUGGAUCGACUCCCUUCCACCAUCAAAGCGCUUUACUUUUAAAAACCUGAGGGCGGAAGUUGUCCAAAGAGCGUCUCUUCAAUCUGACAGAAGACAUUCUCUCUAUGAAUCACUUCGUUCGUCAGUUUCCUUCUUUCACCAAAUAAGAACCAUGAAAUACUUUUCGAUUCGUCACCAUACAUUCGCCAAAUUAUAUUGGAUCAAAAUUCUUAUUAAACGAAAUAAUGCUCGUUCUGCGAAGGAUUAAGUUCUUUUCUUUUACCUUGAAUUGCCUUUAUGAUAAAAUUGCUUAACAUGUCACGGAAUUGCUAGUACCUCAUACCAUAAAAGUAAUGAAAUGUUACUUCUAUACACAGGAAAUUGCACAUAUGUAAAAUCGUCUGUAGAAUAAAAGUAAAUAUCUUAAGCGGAAACUCAGUGACACAAGAAUGUAUCUGAAUGUAAUUCGCGUUAUAUAAAAUAAUUUGAAAUUUCAUUAAUACCGUAGUGACUACGUCACGGACAUUUAGGCAGAUUCAUAUUUUUAAUUAAAGAAGUGAAACAUAAGCAAAGUUUUGUUUCUUCUACUAAAUGUUACAAUAAGUGAUCUACUUUGAAUAUAUCGUACAUCUCCAAAUUUUCUAUAAAUGUAUACUAACGAGACACAACUAUCACGAAUAUCAAAAUUUAGAAUCCGAAGUUACAAAAUCUUUGUUGCAAACAUACACAUUGCAAAGAUAUCCGAGCAAUCAAUUAUUAAUUAGGUUAAUAAACCUUUAAUAUAUUUAAAAAGAACACCUUUAACGUUAACUAUAUGUUUGUAACAGCUAUUCAUAGUCUACCAAAUACUUUUACGACCUCUACAUAUUUGUCGAUACAUAUCUUGUAACUUCUAUAUGCAUUUCAAACUUUGCCAACAUAUUACGAUAGUAGUAUCUCGCUAAAAAGUUAAAGAAAUUCCAGAAAAUGUUAUACGACGAACAUAAGAACAUCCAGAAAACUUUUCCAUGAUGAUUGUUUGAGCUUUCGUGAGUCACUGUACAUUAUUAUUCUGCUUCGAUAUAGCGACUGCUCUAUCAAGAACAAAUAAAAGAAAAGGAGACAUGAUAUUCAAUAGCCAUUACCUUUAUUGCAUACCUCGUUUUCAAAAUGUUUUUUGUUUACUAGUUUUGCUGCUAACAUUAUCGCCUGUGGAUAAUAUCAGUGAUAUGUUCGCUACCGUUUGAACGCGAGGUGAAAUAUUAAAAUGGAAUGUCUAAUAGGAAAACCGUGACUCGAUUGACCAUGAAACAACUUCGUUUCUCGCGAAGUUAAGCUGAUCCUGGAACUUAGUAUUUUUGAAUGGAUUAAAGAAUAUAUUUGUAAAGUGUAACGCAAUGACGACGAAGAUGCCACGAUAAGACAAGACGCCGAUUUUUAGACUCAAAGAAACGAACGACGAAAUCCCGCGGUAGUGAGUCAUUUUUUUUACAUACACAGUAAGAGACAAUAAAACGCUCGCUUAAAUUGCGUGAUGCGACGUGCUGUCUGUUUCCAUGCUCGAUUUCCUAUUGGAAGGCAUUGUUUAAACGAAUGGACAAAGCAAUAUACAUAAUCCCAGCGCGCAUUUACGAAUGAUAUUUAAAUUAGUAAUGUUACUCUUUAUUAAUCUGCUCUUCAUCGCUUAAUAAUAAAGAACGGACAUGAUUGUUAUCGACGAAAAGCACACGAAAGGAAAACAAGAGAACCUUUGAAAAAUAAAAUAGAAAUCUGUUUUUUAUACGAAAUCAAUUUAUACAAAAAAAUACUAAAAAAAAAUAGACUUUGUCUAUGUCGUAUGUAGAUCGCUGACUUGGCUAAAAUUUGAAUAUUCAUUUGAAAAAUCAUAUUCACACUCUAAUCCUUCUUCUAACGCCUGAAAUAUUAGUUUUGCCGAAAGCUCUAUCCUACACAAAUACGAAUCUUCUUCAGACCAGGCUUAUUCAACUUCCCGUUGUGCGUAAUAUAGACGAGAAAUUCAUGUCUCCCCGAACAUUCAUGUUCCGCCGCUCUUUAUUGACAUUCUAUCUCUCCUACCGGUCGCACGAACACGCUUCCACGGACGUCGACCUCUUUUAAAUAAUGUUACAUCAUAGAAGAUCGGCAGUGAUACUAUUUUUAAGAAAAAAAUGUCUUAAACGUCGGAUGCAUUUCCCAGAUACUACUAAUGCAUCAUCAUAUUGUUUUAUCAUAACGUUGAAAAUUUGUACUUUUUAUCUAAUAUACUAGCUUUUCUUUGUUUAAACUGUUUGGAAAAAAAAGCAAGAGAAAAACAGUUUAUGGUAUUGAACGUACAUGUACUUACACAUUUACAUUUAAUAUAUUUUAUCGGAAAUCAAAGUGAUAUAAUCUUACAAAUAAAGGCUACUUUAACGCUAUUUAGCCCUAGGUUACAUUUACUGUCUCAUAAAUAUUUCUGACUAAAAUGAUUCGCGUAUAAAGGAAAUAAACGAUGUACCUAUUAUGUUAUACGAUAAAAUAGUUAUUUACGCAAGUGAUGAUGAUAAAAGAUCGUAUAUUCGUUGGAAGUUUUCCUCGUGAUGGAAUUAGCUUUUUUUUUAAGGACAAUCGAGAAAACACAAAUAGAUAAAAGUAAAA